rnacentral:tRNA from 1 species
GCCCGGAUGGUCUAGUGGUAUGAUUCUCGCUUUGGGCUGCACAGUGCCAAUCUGCGAGAGGCCCCGCGUUCGAACCGCGGUUCGGGCC